GCAGUCGUGGCCGAGUGGUUUAGGUGAUCGACCAGAAAUCCAUUGGGGUCUCCCCGCACAGGUUCGAAUCCUGUCGACUGCG
rfam:Ixodes scapularis strain Wikel colony gcontig_1108378896546, whole genome shotgun sequence.